rnacentral:misc_RNA from 1 species
AUCAUUGAGAAUGAGCCCAACUCCGCCAAACUUCCUUCGCUUUCGCAAAACAAAACAAUCAAUUCAACAAUUUGAGCAAGAUCUGUUUCGAGAUCUAGAAUGUUUUCGUAAGUGUCGAAGAAAGUGGUGGCAGCGGAGAUGUCCUCAGCUUGGACUAGGUCUCGUUUGCGCAAGACCGGAUUGUCGAUGAUUUUCAAAAACGCG